rnacentral:lncRNA from 1 species
AAGGACUGUGCUCCCAAUCCGCUUACGCUCAAGGAAGAACUGGAAGGCCCAGAACCAGCCUGCUGUCAGGAUCAGAACAAAAGAGGAGGACUGCAUAUGUAUGGACCCACUCCAGAUGGCACGGGGACGGGGGGAGUAGGAAAAGUGGCAUGAGACCAGGCCCACAGAGUAUGGCUGUGCAAGUUGUUCACUCUACAAGGGCACCUGGCCGGGGUCUUACCUUGAAUGGAGGAGAAGAGCUUGAAGAUGAGGGGACAGGCCAAGACAACUACCUGGCCCCGAGGGGUGGCUGGCCAGCAGAUGAGGAAAUGGAGGCACAGACUGAUUAGAAAACCAGCUCAAGGUCAUGUUGCUGCUCUCUCAUUCCUGUUGAGGGCUCUCUGGUGGAGCCUCUGUCUCACAGGUCACCUGCAGGCCAACACUCCCAGAAGCAGCUAGCACCAUGGUUGACCUCGUCCAGGUCCAGGGAAGGCCUCCCUCUCCAGGACUCCUUUAGAUUUCCCCAGCAUCCAGACCUCACCUGCCUAAGUGCUGUUGCCCUGGAAGCCACAGUGAGCACGAGCUCCAUCUUGCACCUUUACCAGCCAAUGGGGGUAAAGACAUUAGCUGAAAUACUUCUAAGGGGCCAGGCGUGGUGACUCAUGCUUGUAAUUCCAAGCACUUUGGGAGGCUGAGGCAGGUGGAUCACCUGAAGCCAGGAGUUCAAGAGCAGCCUGGCCAACAUGGCGAAACCCUGUCUCUACUAAAAAUACAAAAUUUA